CCUACGGGUGGCAGCAGGGAGGAAGAUUGGUCAAUGGGCGGACGCCUGAACCAGCCAAGUCGCGGGAGGGAAGACUGCCCUAUGGGUUGUAAACCUCUUUUGUCAGGGAGCAACUGGCGCUACGUGUAGCGUUAUCGAGAGCACCUGAAGAAAAAGCACCGGCUAACUCCGUGCCAGCAGCCGCGGUAAUACGGAGGAUGCGAGCGUUAGCCGGAUGUAUUGGGUUUAAAGGGUGCGUAGGCGGAAUGCCAAGUCAGCGGUAAAAUCGCGGGGCUCAACCUCGCUCCGCCGUUGAAACUGGCGUGCUUGAGUGGGCGAGAGGUAUGCGGAAUGCGUGGUGUAGCGGUGAAAUGCAUAGAUAUCACGCAGAACUCCGAUCGCGAAGGCAGCAUACCGGAGCCCAACUGACGCUGAGGCACGAAAGCGUGGGUAUCGAACAGGAUUAGAUACCCCUGUAGUC
rnacentral:rRNA from 1 species